rnacentral:rRNA from 1 species
UACGUAGGUGGCAAGCGUUAUCCGGAAUUAUUGGGCGUAAAGCGCGCGUAGGCGGUUUCUUAAGUCUGAUGUGAAAGCCCACGGCUUAACCGUGGAAGGUCAUUGGAAACUGGGAGACUUGAGUGCAGAAGAGAAGAGCGGAAUUCCACGUGUAGCGGUGAAAUGCGUAGAGAUGUGGAGGAACACCAGUGGCGAAGGCGGCUCUUUGGUCUGUAACUGACGCUGAGGCGCGAAAGCGUGGGGAUCAAACAGG